GCGGAGAUGGCGGAAUUGGCAGACGCACUAGCUUGAGGUGCUAGCGGGAGCAAUCUCGUGCAGGUUCAAGUCCUGUUCUCCGCACCA
rnacentral:tRNA from 1 species